AUUGAACGCUGGCGGCAGGCCUAACACAUGCAAGUCGAGCGGAGUGGCGGACGGGUGAGUAAUGCCUAGGAAUCUGCCUGGUCGUGAGGGAUCACGUCCGUUAGCGGGCGCUACUACCGCAUACUAUCAGAUGAGCCUAGGUCGGAUUAGCUAGUUGGUGGGGUAAAGGCCUACCAAGGCGACGAUCCGUAACUGGUCUGAGAGGAUGAUCAGUCACACUGGAACUGAGACACGGUCCAGACUCCUACGGGAGGCAGCAGUGGGGAAUAUUGGACAAUGGGCGAAAGCCUGAUGCAGCCAUGCCGCGUGUGUGAAGAAGGUCUUCGGGUUGUAAAGUACUUUCAGCGGGGAGGCGUUACCCGCAGAAGAAGCACCGGCUAACUCCGUGCCAGCAGCCGCGGUAAUUC
rnacentral:rRNA from 1 species